AUUGAACGCUGGCGGCAUGCCUAACACAUGCAAGUCGAGCGAGCGGCGGACGGGUGAGUAAUGUAUGGGGAUCUGCCCGAUAGAGGGGGAUAACUACUGGAAACGGUGGCUAAUACCGCAUACUAUCGGAUGUACCCAUAUGGGAUUAGCUAGUAGGUGGGGUAUAGGCUCACCUUUGCGACGAUCUCUAGCUGGUCUGAGAGGAUGAUCAGCCACACUGGGACGGAGACACGGCCCAGACUCCUACGGGAGGCAGCAGUGGGGAAUAUUGGACAAUGGGCGCAAGCCUGAUGCAGCCAUGCCGCGUGUAUGAAGAAGGCCUUAGGGUUGUAAAGUACUUUCAGCGGGGAGGCGUUACCCGCAGAAGAAGCACCGGCUAACGACGUGCCAGCCGCCGCGGUAAUUC
rnacentral:rRNA from 1 species